ensembl:lncRNA
AGUGUGCCACUUAUGGGGCUGGGGGGGUCUGUGUGCCAUCUAUGGGGCAGUGUGCCGCUUAUGGGGCUGGGGGGGAGGCAGUGUGCCAUCUAUGGGGCUGUGGGUCGGGGUCUGUGUGUCAUCUGUGGGGCAGUGUGCCACUUAUGGGGCUGGAGAGGGUCUGUGUGCUACAUAUGGGGUCUGUGUGCCAUCUAUGGGGCAGUGUGCCACUUAUGGGGUCUGUGUGCCAUCUAUGGGGCAGCGUGCCACUUAUGGGGCUGGAGAGGGUCUGUGUGCCACUUAUGGGGCUGUGGCUAGGGCUCUGUGCCCCAUAUGGGGUCUGUGUGUCAUCUGUGGGGCAGUGGGUGGGGGUCUGUGUGCCCUCUAUGGGGCUGUGUGCCACUUAUGGGGCUGGAGGGGGUCUCUGUGCCCCAUAUGGGAUCUUUGUGCUAUCUGUGGGGCUGUGUGAAACUUAUGGGGCAGUGGGGGGUUGUGUGUGCCAUCUGUGGGGCUGUGUGUGGGGGGGAGGUGUCUGUGUGCUCCGUAUGGGGCUCUCUGCCCAACAUCUGUGUCUCUGCCCCACACUUAUGGGUCCCUGCCCCACACUUAUGGGUCUGUGCCCCCUCUCCCCCCCCCAUAGGCAACGUCCCGGAGCCGUUCUACACGUGUCUCCCCACCCCACACUUCUGGCUCUGUGCCCCGUGCCCCACACUUAUGGGUCCCUGCCCCCCACACUAGUGGGUUCCCAGCCCACACUUAUGGGUCCCUGCCCCACACUUCUGGGUCCCUGCCCCCCAUAUCUAUGGGUCUGUGGCGUAUUCAGGGUUCUGACCCCACACUAAUGGGUCCCUGCCCCACACUAAUGGGUCCCUGCCCCACACUAAUGGGUUCCCACCCCACACUUACAGGUCCCUGCCCCACACUUAUGGGUCCCUGCCCCACACUUAUUGGUCCCUGCCCCACACUUAUGGGUCCCCACCCCACGCUUAUGGGUCCCUGCCCCCCAUAUCUAUGGGUCCGUGGUGUAUUCA